UGGCGGACGGGUGAGUAAUGUCUGGGAAACUGCCUGAUGGAGGGGGAUAACUACUGGAAACGGUAGCAAUACCGCAUAACGUCGCAAGACCAAAGAGGGGGACCUUCGGGCCUCUUGCCAUCGGAUGUGCCCAGAUGGGAUUAGCUAGUAGGUGGGGUAACGGCUCACCUAGGCGACGAUCCCUAGCUGGUCUGAGAGGAUGACCAGCCACACUGGAACUGAGACACGGUCCAGACUCCUACGGGAGGCAGCAUG
rnacentral:rRNA from 1 species